CAGAAAAUAGUUUAAGUAAAAUAUUAAUUUUGGAGGUUAAAGAUGAGGUUCAUACUUUUUUUCUGA
rnacentral:tRNA from 1 species